ensembl:lncRNA
CUGUGAGAAAUCCUGCUCCUUGCAUGAAUGGAGCUUGUUUUAAAUGGUCUGAUUCUUUGAGGUCGGUGGGAGGGAAGGAAUUCGGCUACCAGCAUUGCUUGGCCAAUUCAGCCCAUGAACUGGUUACUGCAGGUGGUUUUCACGGGUGCGGGGAAAUUACAGUCCCAGACUCAAGCCUGUAUCAGUAAACACCACCGCCUCAGGCCGGCCGCUUCAAUUCCGCUGGACCCCUGGCAGUUCAAACAGGGCACCUGGGUCAGUCUGUGAGCUUAGCAGGCAUGGCUGACCCUGGCUGCCCAGCAAACAGUUUAUGUUGGGGAGCAAUCUAGAGAUUUCCUGAGAUAAGGAUGCUAUUACAGGCUGACAAAUGUGGAAAGGAGCAGAGUGGGCAGCUUUUGUCCAGACUGACCCCGGGAAAAAAAGACUUUGCAAUUUUGGGAACUCUUCAAAUACCACCAUUCCUGUGAACCCCAUUACCCUUAGGAUAAAAUCUACAGUCCUUAACUAGCCUCUGAUGGUCUGCACGAUGGAGCCCUACCCACCUCGUCAACUCUUGCUCCUGCCACUGGCCCCUGCAACCUACUGCAUCAACCACAAGUGCUGCCACUCAGGUUUCCGAGUUCUCUGAGCUCUGCUCCACUUCUGCCUGAACUGGUGCUGGGCCCUCCUCCCAGGGCUCUUACCUGGCAAUUCCUCCUUAUCCUUCUUGUUUCGGGUUGAAUGUUAUCUGCAGAGGCUUGGCUAGGUCUCUCAUUAUGAUCUCCUGGGGCCCUUAGCACAAUCAUAAAUAGUUAAUUAUUGGUGACUAUCGGUUUGAAAGGGGUUUCCCUGGUGGCACAGAUGGUAAAGAAUCCAUCUACAAUGCAGAAGACCCAGGUUCGACCCCUGGGUCAGAGAGUGGGAAUAUCCACUGGAGAAGAGAAUGGCAACCCACUCCAGUAUUUUUGUCUGGACAGAAGACACUGCUGGGCUACAGUUCAUGGGGUCACAGAGUCGGACACGACUGAGCAACUAACCCACACACAUUGGUUUGAAAUUUCGCUCCCUCACUGGCAAGGACUAUAUCCUAUUCACCUAGCACUCCAAACAUUUGAAUGAUCACCAAGGUCAAAUGAAUGAAUGAAUCAAGUAG